rnacentral:rRNA from 1 species
UAGGGAAUUUUCGGCAAUGGACGAAAGUCUGACCGAGCAACGCCGCGUGAGUGAAGAAGGAUUUCGGAUCGUAAAACUCUGUUGGUAGAGAAGAACGUUGGUGAGAGUGGAAAGCUCAUCAAGUGACGGUAACUACCCAGAAAGGGACGGCUAACUACGUGCCAGCAGCCGCGGUAAUACGUAGGUCUCGAGCGUUGUCCGGAUUUAUUGGGCGUAAAGCGAGCGCAGGUGGUUUAUUAAGUCUGGUGUAAAAGGCAGUGGCUCAACCAUUGUAUGCAUUCAAAACUGAUAGACUUGAAUCCAGGUGAGGAGAGUGGAAUUCCAUGUGUAGCGGUGAAAUGCGUAGAUAUAUGGAGGAACACCGGUGGCGAAAGCGGCUCUCUGGCCUGUAACUGACACUGAGGCUCGAAAGCGUGGGGAGCAAACAGG